AAAAUACCUCACACUGUGGUACUAUUUUGACUUUUGUAUCAGGUAUUAGAAAUAAAACACAAAAAGCAAGGUUAAAUAAGAAACGAACAUCCUCAUAGUCCUGAACAAUUCACUUAAUAUUUCAGAAAAGGGAAGCUUUCAAGCCCUCACAUUAUCAAGCAGGGGACUGUACCAUCCUGGUAUUGCAGCCUCUCUUUCUCUCUAUUUUUAGGUCUGGAAAGCAUAAAAGAGGAGUAAUAUUACUUUUGGGAGACUCUGUCUAGCAUGGUUUGUGUGGGAGUUUUCUGAAAGUUUGCCCUGAUAAAUGAUUUACCAGGACAGUAAAAAGAUCAAGAAAGCCCUGAGCUGUCCUCUCAAAACAAAUUACUUUCUUCACCCACUCCUUGAAAUCCUUUAAAACCUUACUGUAAUGAUUAAUUUUCCAGAAUUCUAAAAACUGUUGAAGUCCAGGGCCGAUGACUAUCUCAUAUCUCUCCUGGGAUAAAGACACAUCACGGUGUUGAGUUGAAUCCUGCCUGGUGCAUCUGCAUGUUUAUUCUGGGUAUCUCUUUGUUUUACUUGUUACCUGAAUUUUCCUACAGUGUCAUUGGGGUUUUGAUAUUUUAUAAUGCUGCAUGUUUCCCUACUAAACAAAACACAAGAGGGUGUUUUGCCCUCCUUCUUUAUAUUUGUUUCAUCAAAAUUAUUUGUUUCAGUUGUAGUAAAGAUGAAACCAGACACACAGGGAGAAAAGAACAGGCAAGUGGGAAGAUGCUAAUAAAGGUAGAGAAGAGAGAAAGAAAAGUCAACACAUACUCAAGGGACUCUACUGCUUUUCUGUGACACUGGUGCCUCACUGGACCCAUGAGAAGUUUUGCAAUUCACAUAAUAAAGAAAUGUUGGUAGGAGACACAUGGAGAAGAACAAUUAAGGACAACAAUGAGAAAAAAAAAUACAGGAAUAAUUGUGCCUCCUUAGAGGUAUGAUAAUACACAAUGAUAUGUAUUUCUGGUGAUAAUGAUCCUGCAGUUCACUCUCUCCACUUAUUCCAACUCCCCCCACAGUGCCACUACUGUCUAAUAUGGCACAUUUAUGCAAAAGAUGAGUUAGAAAAUUAGAUUCCAUUAUAAAAGCAUCAGAUAUAAUAAUGAAACCUAUGGAAAAUAAUCUGGUAUGCUUCUGCACCUGUCAUUUCCAAUGGUUUCCACCACCUGCCCAUAUACAUUUGACAAGCAGUACUCAAUCUCUUGAUUUUACUGAAGGAGUAAACUGAGGCAAAGAGAGACUUGUCUACCAAGCAUCUGGGCUAGGCACUGGGCCAGCCUGCAGUCACAUGCAUUAACUGUUUCUGAUGCUUCUAUGUAGAAUAUUAUUAAUUACUGGCAAUUUGUAGUAGGCAAACCCAUAUGAAGGUGUUAUUAGCAGUGUGUGAACACAGGGAGAAAAGCUGCCCAGAGGAGCUCCCAAACACACACAGUUUUAAUAGGCAUUAGAAACUCACAUUGGGAACAAAGAUUUUUUAAAACAUUGCUCCCAUACUAAUCUUGAUGAUGGCAGAUAAUUAGUCAGCAAACCCAAGCUCGGGACUGCUUACUGAGCAUGAAAAACCUCAUAUCUAUCCACAGUGCAGCUUUGACUGCAGGCUGAAGUGCCUCGCGGUGCUUACAAAAGCAGCUACAAAAAUAUUUUCAAGACCUUUAGCAUGUUGGUGCAGGACAGUUUAUCCACCUAGCAGUACUGGGCUGAUCAGCUCUCAAAACCAGGGAGAAGAAAAGGUGUUGGUGAUGCAGACACUGCCAGCGGGGCACUCAGGGGUCAGGCUUUCAUCCCCUAUUUAGCAGUAAUUUGGUAUGUAGGGGCUGCAUGAGCCUUUGAAGCUCAGUGCUGCUGUUUUUAAAGGCUCCCAUCAACCAGCCCAUAAUGUAAGUGAAGCAGAAACAGCAGUGUAAUAGCAGACACAGUUUUCUUCUUGCAGAGUCUGCAGUUCUCUGACAUGUCUGCUUAACUCUCUUUUCAUGGCGGACAAACUUCCCGUCAGGAACCAGUUAACAGGGACAGCGAGGAGCAGCACUGACAAGCAACAGCUUUGGAGGAAGGCAGUCAUGUAUUUAAAAAGGAAAAGCCACCACGAAGAAGCCCACAAAAAAGCCACAUUAUUUAUUUUUCUGGGAGGUUAAAGUCGCAGCUGGGAGCGUAUCUGGGAGAAGGGAGGAGCAUGUAAGAACUGGAGGAUUCCCAGUGUGUUUCCACUGGCUGGCCCUGGGAUCUGCAGCACAACAGCUUCUGCACUGUUAUUUCCCCUUGAUGCUCGUCAUCGCUACCAAGAGUACAGCCUUGCAAGACACUGGAAGUACUGACUCAGGAGCUUGGAUGGUGCCAUAAACUUAAUGCAACCAUGCACUUCUGUUGUCUCAAUAAUGCUUCCAUCUUGCUAUCAGGUACUUGUUGCUUUGUGUUAAUACUACUUGCAUGGCAGUGGCAGCUUCCCUCAGACAGGGCCUCUGCAAGAUUAGGUGUCCCCUAAGCCUCCUUUUCUCAAGGCCUAAGAAACCCAGUUCUUUCCUCAUAUGGCAGACUUUCAAGUCCUUUGAUUGUCCUUGUUUCCCUUCUCUGGAUACUUUCCAGCCUGUUUGCAUGUUUUUACUAUAUGGAAGGUUUCAGAGGACCCUACCAUCCUCUCUUUCCACCUGCCCCACCUGCCACCUGAGCUUUGAGUGAGCUGAAGUUUGCUCUUCUAAAGUCUAAACCCUUUGGUUUUAACCUUCUGCAUGCCCAGCCAAAUCCCAAACUCCACAAUACUGUGAUCACUAUAACCAACACUAUCAGUGACCAAGAUAUUUCAAAGCAGGUUUUUCUCAGUUUGUGAGUCCAGCAGUGCCUCAUUCCUGCUUGGCACAGCUCUAAUAUUUGUAUGAGGAAGUAAUCCUCCUAGGCACUCCAGGAACUUGAUGGAUAACAUGAGCUGCUGUACUGUUCUUCCAAUAAAUGUCUGGACAUCUGAAGUCACCCACAUGAACCAGGUUCUGUGAACCUUCCAAAGCUUGCUUGAGUGACCUGAAUAUGGCUUUGCUGGUCUUGCUGUCUUGGUUUGGAGGCCAGUAGAAGUUGCCUACUGAAAUAUCCCCCUUGAAGAUGCCUUCUCUGAUCUUGACCCAAAGGCAUUCUGUAGGACUUCGACAGUUACCAUGGCGGACUUCUGUGCAUCAGUUGCUGUGGUUGACUUUUAUGUACCAGAAGUUCCCCUUGACAAAGAGCGAGGCUCCUCCAGUUUUGUCCUGCCUGUCUUUUUGAAACAGCCUGUUUCCAUCCAUCGUAAUCCUCCAGUCAUGUGAGUUGUCCCAUCAUUUUUCAGUUAUUCCUAUGAAUAACUCUGCUCUUGAUGAAAUCCUUAGUCCCUGGUGCCACUUGGGGCACCUGUUUCAGUCUAAGAUACUGUCUGCUGCUGUUCGUGUGGAUAGAACCUGCUAAGACUUUGUGCUUUUUUCUUCUCCCAGCUGCUAAGUUUUACUGAACCUUCCAGACAUUGAGAAGACAUUUUAAACAGAAACACAUUUAUGAAGUUUGGGGUAUUGAGAAAAGACAAAUGUCGGCAAUGAAUUUUGAAAUCACUGGCUAAAUUUUGCCUUCUAGCACACGCAAUAAAUAUUUACAGGUUUCUUUGAAUAUAUGUUCCUGAAACCCAUUUUUUUCACUUGUGAAUCUCAGCUGCGUGCAAUUACUUACUAGUCUGAUGUGAUAUCCUUUACAAUUCCUUAGUAGAUUUUAAUUUAUUUUAAUUAUAUUUUUUAAUUUAUUUGCGUAACUGCUUCUUGAACCCAUAGAGUAAAACCAAAACAUCUAAAUAGUCUUGGACAUUUCAUAAAAACAACAGAUUUUCUUCCCUAACCUUCUGCAAUCCAAUUUUAGCACUUUUGGCACACUUAUAUCAAGCCCACACUUUAAAAUAAAAUGUCUGUCAAAUAGAAAAGAACAACACCAAUCUGGAAAGAAAUUAUGUUAUUCAUCUUCCAACUGCACAUUGCAAAAGUUGCAGUUUUCUAAAAAGUACAACUUUGAAAAAGUAGUUUACAGUUUAAUUUUUAAGAUAACUGAACGAUGAGAUUUUUUGCUAUGUUAAUACUUGAAGCUUUAUUUUUAAUUUGUCAUCUGUAAUAAACACAGGAGUGCAGAGAUGUCAGGAGCUGGGUUUACAGGAACUUUAACACAUAACUAGAGAUAAUGCUGCAGAACAGCUGCAAACACACUGCAGCAAGGCCCUCCUCACUUUCUGCCCACAGCUGCAUAGAGAGUUAGGCUGAACAAGUGAGCUGAAGGAUUUGUUAGAAUUACCACAUGGCAAGGAGUUAAAAAGCUGCAAUUUGGCCCAAAGAAGUGACGCAAAAAGAUCAUUUUCUCAUGACAGAUUUUUGCUUGCCAUUGGCUUUUUUAAGGUGAAGGCACACGAUAACUUGUUUUUUCUUAUGGCGGG